rnacentral:rRNA from 1 species
UACAGAGGUCUCAAGCGUUGUUCGGAUUCAUUGGGCGUAAAGGGUGCGUAGGCGGCUGCGGUAAGUCGGGUGUGAAAUCUCGGGGCUUAACUCCGAAACUGCAUUCGAUACUGCCGUGCUUGAGGACUGGAGAGGAGACUGGAAGUUUACGGUGUAGCGGUGAAAUGCGUAGAUAAUCGUAAGGAAGACCAGUGGCGAAGGCGGGUCUCUGGA